rnacentral:misc_RNA from 1 species
AAGUCGUAACAAGGUUUCCGUAGGUGAACCUGCGGAAGGAUCAUUAACCUUCAGUGCUCGCACUUUCUUAGAAAAGGUAGCAAUCCCUGGUAAAUCAUUGCCGAACAGUUUUGAUUCAGGGACUUCUGCGUAGACUGUGCUUGAGCGUGAGGCAAGUGGCCUGGCAUUCCUCUGCUUGUUGGUGUCUGAAAGUGUCACCAGCUCUGUACGAAUGGCGCAGUCACGAUCGCUAGAGGCCGACACGGCCGGCGACCGGGUCACUGGGCGCGAGCCCCCCUCGUCACCUUUGCAUGAAAACGGGCCUGCGCUUAAUUGUGCGGCCACCAAACUCGAACAACUGUUAACAAUGGAUAUCUUGGUUCUC